rnacentral:rRNA from 1 species
UAGCCUCGGGAGGCAGCCGUGGGGAAUAUUGCGCAAUGGGCGAAAGCCUGACGCAGCGGCGCCGCGUGAGGGAUGAAGGUCUUCGGAUCGUAAACCUCUGUCAGCAGGGAAGAACGGUCACUGUGCUAAUCAGCAGUGAAUUGACGGUACCUGCAAAGGAAGCACCGGCUAACUCCGUGCCAGCAGCCGCGGUAAUACGGAGGGUGCGAGCGUUAAUCGGAAUUACUGGGCGUAAAGCGCUCGUAGGCGGUAUGUCAAGUCAAGGGUGAAAUCCCCGCGCUCAACGUGGGAACUGCCUUUGAGAG